ensembl:snRNA U6 U6 spliceosomal RNA
UGGCAGCACAUAUACUAAAAUACUAAAACUGGAACGAUACAGAGAUUAGCAUGGCCCUUGCGCAAGGAUGACAAGCAAAUUCGUGAAGCGUUCCAUAUUUUA